UGGGGAAUCUUGGACAAUGGGCGCAAGCCUGAUCCAGCCAUGCCGCGUGAGUGACGAAGGUCUUCGGAUUGUAAAGCACUUUAAGUUGGGAGGAAGGGCAGUUACCUAAUACGUAUCUGUUUUGACGUUACCGACAGAAUAAGCACCGGCUAACUCUGUGCCAGCAGCCGCGGUAAUACAGAGGGUGCAAGCGUUAAUCGGAAUUACUGGGCGUAAAGCGCGCGUAGGUGGUUUGUUAAGUUGGAUGUGAAAUCCCCGGGCUCAACCUGGGAACUGCAUUCAAAACUGACAAGCUAGAGUAUGGUAGAGGGUGGUGGAAUUUCCUGUGUAGCGGUGAAAUGCGUAGAUAUAGGAAGGAACACCAGUGGCGAAGGCGACCACCUGGACUGAUACUGACACUGAGGUGCGAAAGCGUGGGGAGCAAACAGGAUUAGAUACCCAAGUAGUCCCUGAGCGGGCUGGCAAGGCGCAU
rnacentral:rRNA from 1 species